GAUGAACGCUGGCGGCGUGCCUAAUACAUGCAAGUCGAGCGAACAGACGAGGAGCUUGCUCCUCUGACGUUAGCGGCGGACGGGUGAGUAACACGUGGAUAACCUACCUAUAAGACUGGGAUAACUUCGGGAAACCGGAGCUAAUACCGGAUAAUAUAUUGAACCGCAUGGUUCAAUAGUGAAAGACGGUUUUGCUGUCACUUAUAGAUGGAUCCGCGCCGCAUUAGCUAGUUGGUAAGGUAACGGCUUACCAAGGCAACGAUGCGUAGCCGACCUGAGAGGUGGGCCGGCCACCGGGGAAAUGAGCCCGGGUCCAGCCCCCGCCGGGGGGCAGAGUGAGGGAUCCUUCCGAAAGGGCGAAAAGCUGAACGGAGCACCGCCGCGGGAUUAAGAAAGGUUUUCGUAACGAAAAACUUUUUUAUUGGGGAAAAAAAAUUGUGAAAGAAAAUAGGCCCGUCGUAAGGGUCCUUAAUAAAAAGACCACGACAAACAACGGC
rnacentral:rRNA from 1 species